UACGAAGGGGGCUAGCGUUGCUCGGAAUCACUGGGCGUAAAGGGUGCGUAGGCGGGUUUUUAAGUCAGAGGUGAAAUCCUGGAGCUCAACUCCAGAACUGCCUUUGAUACUGAAAGUCUUGAGUAUGGGAGAGGUGAGUGGAACUGCGAGUGUAGAGGUGAAAUUCGUAGAUAUUCGCAAGAACACCAGUGGCGAAGGCGGCUCACUGGCCCGAUACUGACGCUGAUGCACGAAAGCGUGGGGAGCAAACAGG
rnacentral:rRNA from 1 species